rnacentral:rRNA from 1 species
CGAGAAAGCCCGCAAGGGUGAGUAAAGCGGCGCACGGGUGCGUAACACGUGGAUAAUCUGCCCUGGAGUCCGGAACAACUCGCCGAAAGGCGAGCUAAUGCCGGAUGAGACCACGGGGGCUUCGGCCCCUGGGGGAAAAGGUGGCCUCUGUACACAAGCUAUCGCUUCAGGAUGAGUCCGCGGCCCAUCAGCUAGUUGGCGGGGUAAUGGCCCACCAAGGCGACGACGGGUAGCUGGUCUGAGAGGACGAUCAGCCACACUGGAACUGAGACACGGUCCAGACUCCUACGGGAGGCAGCAGUGGGGAAUCUUGCGCAAUGGGCGAAAGCCUGACGCAGCAACGCCGCGUGUGUGAUGAAGGUCUUCGGAUCGUAAAGCACUGUCGCGAGGGACG